rnacentral:rRNA from 1 species
UACCAGCACCCCGAGUGGUCGGGACGUUUAUUGGGCCUAAAGCAUCCGUAGCCGGUUCUGCAAGUCUUCCGUUAAAUCCACCUGCUUAACAGAUGGGCCGCGGAAGAUACUAUAGAGCUAGGAGGCGGGAGAGGCAAGCGGUACUCAGUGGGUAGGGGUAAAAUCCGUUGAUCCAUUGAAGACCACCAGUGGCGAAGGCGGCUUGCCAGAAUGCGCUCGACGGUGAGGGAUGAAAGCUGGGGGAGCAAACCGG